CUGUAGAGCAAUCUGCCCUUAGAGGAGGAAGACAUUACUUUAAAACAAAGGAACCCUACAGAGGUUCUCUUUAGGUCAAUUGUCUUAU
rnacentral:pre_miRNA from 1 species